GAUGAACGCUGGCGGCGUGCCUAAUACAUGCAAGUAGAACGCACAGUUUAUACCGUAGCUUGCUACACCAUAGACUGUGAGUUGCGAACGGGUGAUUAACGCGCAGGUAACCAGCCUGGGAGCGGGGGGGAACUAUUGGAAACGAUAGCUAAUACAUCAUAAUAUUCAUUAUUGCAUGAUAAUUAAUUGAAUGGUGCAAUUUUACCACUACCAGAUGGACCUGCUUUGUAUUAGCUAGUAGGUGAGGUAACGGCUCAACUAGGCGAAGGUACAUAGCCGACCUGAGAGGGGGGACGGCCCACACGGGACUUAGACCACGCCCAGACUCCUACGGGGAGGAGGAGUGGGGGAAUCUUGGCAAUUGACGGAAGUCUGACCGGGGCACGGCGGGGGGGUGGAGGAGGUUUUUGGAUCGUAAAACUCUGUUGUAAGGGAAGAAAGGGUGUUAUAGUGGACUGUUCACGUUGUGACGGUACCUUAUCAGAAAGGGACGGCUAACUACGUG
rnacentral:rRNA from 1 species